rnacentral:rRNA from 1 species
AUACGGAGGGUGCAAGCGUUACUCGGAAUCACUGGGUGUAAAGCGCGCGCAGGCGGUCUUUUAAGUUGGAUGUGAAAGCCUACGGCUCAACCGUAGAACUGCAUCCAAAACUAUUAGACUAGAGUGUGGGUGAGGAAGAUGGAAUUAGUUGUGUAGGGGUAAAAUCCGUAGAGAUAACUAGGAAUACCAAAAGCGAAGGCAAUCUUCUGGAACACUACUGACGCUGAGGCGCGAAAGCGUGGGGAGCAAACAGGAUUAGAUACCCUAGUAGUCC